GCAAUUCCAGCUUAGUAUCAUAUUGGGUUGGCCGGUGGGAUCUCAUCAACCACCAGCUUUUUUUGUUCCUCCUUUUUCUUUCCGUUAACCGCACCCACCGCAAGAGUAAGUGGGCGUGAUACAUGGUCACGAUUUUCGAACACUCGCUUCUUUGGAGAUUCAUCGUGGGAGAGGGCUUGUCUCUUCCUCGAAUUGGAGCUGCGGUAGGGGCUCCUAGCGGUUUUCUUCAUUAUGUCCGUACGUGGUCCCAGGCGGCUCUUCACCGGUUUGCCUCUUCUCCCACCACGAUCGUCACCAAUAGCAUCUGGUCCCUUAAUCUUCAUUAAUUCUUUCAGGGGUGAUAUGACUUCCUCCACGUCAGUAGCAUUCACCAUGAC
rnacentral:lncRNA from 1 species